CCAUAAUUCUACCAUCUAAUGUUUUCACACGGUAGAUAGCCUCCGGGGGUUGUGAGCUCUUCUCCAAGGACUGCUUACUUUGGCCUACCAUCCGCACAGGUUUCUGAGAUGGGCUUCCCACUCCAGCCAUGAACUCAGGCAUAAGAAUGCUUCUUGGAUUUGAAUCUAGCUAUCAGCAAGUACAAAACACAGAAAAAAAAACUCAAAGAAAAAAAGUUCUUUCCAAAAAUGGAAAACCCACCAGAUGGCAUGGCACAGUUAAACGCAACAUGUCCUAAAAUCCAACCAUGCAAAGAAGAAAUUGGUAUCUUUACCGAAAAACAGCUGCAGGAAGGAAGGACUAUCUUGGCUAACAGUAGGUAAAUGGUAGCUCUAAAUAGCAAUAAACAGAAAACUGGGCAACUUGAUAGCUACCAGCACCUUCCCCCUCUUAGAAGUCAGACAGACUUUACCAGGUGCCCUUGGGUAAGGGAGCUGGCAUCACAAGCAACAACUG